AGUAUAGGAGGCCUUACCUGCCCAGUGACUACAAGUUAAACGGCCGCGGUAUUUUGACCGUGCAAAGGUAGCGCAAUCACUUGUCUUUUAAAUGAAGACCUGUAUGAAUGGUUAAACGAGGGCUUAACUGUCUCUCUUUUCAAGUCAAUGAAAUUGAUCUACCCGUGCAGAAGCGGGUAUAAAAAUACAAGACGAGAAGACCCUUUGGAGCUUAAGAUAUAAGAUCACCUAUGUCAAGAGGCCAAAUACACCUAAACCAAAUAGUAUAACUGAUCCUAAUCUUCGGUUGGGGCGACCAAGGGAGAUAAUAAAGCUCCCUCGAGGACUGGGAAUAUUUUCCUAAAACUAAGAGAGACAUCUCUAAGUCACAGAAUAUCUGACCAUUAAGAUCCGGCUACAUGCCGAUCAACGGACCAAGUUACCCAAGGGAUAACAGCGCAAUCCUCUUUAAGAGUUCAUAUCGACAAGAGGGUUUACGACCUCGAUGUUGGAUCAGGACAUCCUAAUGGUGCAGCCGCUAUUAAGGGUUCGUUUGUUCAACGAUUAAA
rnacentral:rRNA from 1 species